rnacentral:rRNA from 1 species
CCUACGGGUGGCAGCAGUAGGGAAUAUUGCUCAAUGGGGGAAACCCUGAAGCAGCAACGCCGCGUGGAGGAUGAAGGUUUUCGGAUUGUAAACCUCUUUUGCCGGGGAGCAAGCGUGCGUUCGUGAACGCACGUCGAGAGUACCCGGAGAAAAAGCAUCGGCUAACUCCGUGCCAGCAGCCGCGGUAAUACGGAGGAUGCGAGCGUUAUCCGGAUUUAUUGGGUUUAAAGGGUGCGUAGGCGGGAUGCCAAGUCAGCGGUAAAAAUGCGGUGCUCAACGCCGUCGAGCCGUUGAAACUGGCGUUCUUGAGUGGGCGAGAAGUAUGCGGAAUGCGUGGUGUAGCGGUGAAAUGCAUAGAUAUCACGCAGAACUCCGAUUGCGAAGGCAGCAUACCGGCGCCCUACUGACGCUGAGGCACGAAAGCGUGGGUAUCGAACAGGAUUAGAUACCCUAGUAGUC